CCCUUCGGGGAGCCUGCACAGGUGCUGCAUGGCUGUCGUCAGCUCGUGUCGUGAGAUGUCCGGUUAAGUCCGGUAACGAGCGCAACCCUUGCUGUAUGUUACAUGUGUCAUACGGGACUGCCGGUAUCAAGCCGGAGGAAGGUGGGGAUGACGUCAAGUCAGCAUGGCCUUUAUGUCUGGGGGCUACACACACGCUACAAUGGCCAGUACAAUAGGUUGCAAAGCCGCGAGGUGGAGCCAAUCCUUAAAGCUGGUCUCAGUUCGGAUUGCAGGCUGCAACUCGCCUGCAUGAAGUCGGAGUUGCUAGUAACCGCGCGUCAGCCAUAGUGCGGUGAAUACGUUCCCGGGCCUU
rnacentral:rRNA from 1 species